ACGCUGGCGGCGUGCCUUAACACCAUGCAAGUCGAGCGGAGCCAUCUAGAAGAUCCCUUCGGGGUGAUUCUGGGGAAGCUUAGCGGCGGACGGGUUGAGUAACGCGUGAGUAACCUGCCCAUUAGUGGGGAAUAACACAGAGAAAUUUGUGCUAAUACCGCAUACUGAAUAUUUAAGGCAUCCUUAGAUAUUUGAAAGAUUUAUCGCUAAUGGAUGGACUCGCGUCUGAUUAGAUAGUUGGUGGGGUAAAGGCCUACCAAGUUCGACGAUUGGUAGCCGGACUGAGAGGUUUGAACGGCCACCAUUGGGACUGAGACACGGCCCAGACUCCUACGGGAGGCAGCAGUGGGGGAUAUUGCACAAUGGGGGAAACCCUGAUGCAGCAACGCCGCGUGAGGGAAGAAGUAUUCCGGUAUGUAAAGCUCUAUCAGCAAGGAAGAAAAUGACGGUACUUGACUAAGAAGCCCCGGCUAACUACGUG
rnacentral:rRNA from 1 species